rnacentral:rRNA from 1 species
CACAUGCAAGUCGAGCGGAUGAAGGGAGCUUGCUCCUGGAUUCAGCGGCGGACGGGUGAGUAAUGCCUAGGAAUCUGCCUGGUAGUGGGGGAUAACGUCCGGAAACGGGCGCUAAUACCGCAUACGUCCUGAGGGAGAAAGUGGGGGAUCUUCGGACCUCACGCUAUCAGAUGAGCCUAGGUCGGAUUAGCUAGUUGGUGGGGUAAAGGCCUACCAAGGCGACGAUCCGUAACUGGUCUGAGAGGAUGAUCAGUCACACUGGAACUGAGACACGGUCCAGACUCCUACGGGAGGCAGCAGUGGGGAAUAUUGGACAAUGGGCGAAAGCCUGAUCCAGCCAUGCCGCGUGUGUGAAGAAGGUCUUCGGAUUGUAAAGCACUUUAAGUUGGGAGGAAGGGCAGUAAGUUAAUACCUUGCUGUUUUGACGUUACCAACAGAAUAAGCACCGGCUAACUUCGUGCCAGCAGCCGCGGUAAUACGAAGGGUGCAAGCGUUAAUCGGAAUUACUGGGCGUAAAGCGCGCGUAGGUGGUUCAGCAAGUUGGAUGUGAAAUCCCCGGGCUCAACCUGGGAACUGCAUCCAAAACUACUGAGCUAGAGUACGGUAGAGGGUGGUGGAAUUUCCUGUGUAGCGGUGAAAUGCGUAGAUAUAGGAAGGAACACCAGUGGCGAAGGCGACCACCUGGACUGAUACUGACACUGAGGUGCGAAAGCGUGGGGAGCAAACAGGAUUAGAUACCCUGGUAGUCCACGCCGUAAACGAUGUCGACUAGCCGUUGGGAUCCUUGAGAUCUUAGUGGCGCAGCUAACGCGAUAAGUCGACCGCCUGG